ACUCAAAGGAAUUGACGGGGGGCCGCACAAGCGGUGGAGCGUGUGGUUUAAUUCGACGAUAAGCGAAGAACCUUACCAGGGCUUGACAUCCCGGUCAUAUCUUGUGGAAACACAAGAGUCGGCUAGGCCGGACCGGUGACAGGUGCUGCAUGGUCGUCGUCAGCUCGUGUCGUGAGAUGUUGGGUUAAGUCCCGCAACGAGCGCAACCCUCAUCGUCUGUUGUAUUUUUCAGACGAGACUGCCUGGGUUAACCAGGAGGAAGGCGGGGAUGACGUCAGAUCAGCAUGGCCCUUAUGCCCUGGGCGACACACGCGCUACAAUGGCCGGCACAAUGGGACGCGAAGCCGCGAGGUGGAGCCAAUCCCAUCAAAGCCGGUCUCAGUUCGGAUUGGAGGCUGCAACUCGCCUCCAUGAAGUCGGAAUCGCUAGUAAUCGCGGGUCAGCCAUACCGCGGUGAAUACGUUCUCGGCCCUUGUACACACCGCCCGU
rnacentral:rRNA from 1 species